CCGGUUGAUCCCGCCGGAGGCUACCGCUAUUGGAGUUCGAUUAAGCCAUGCGAGUCGCGAGUCUUAGGGACUCGGCGUACCGCUCAGUAACACGUGGGUAACCUGCCCUAUGCUGGGGGAUAACCUCGGGAAACUGAGAAUAAUACCCCAUAGUUCACCACGCCUGGAACGGUGGGUGGAUGAAAGCUCCGGCGGCAUAGGAUGGGCCUGCGGCGUAUCAGGUUGUAGGGGGUGUAAUGUACCCUCUAGCCAUCUACGCGUACGGGUGUUGGGAGACAUCGCCCGGAGAUGGAUUCUGAGACACGAAUCCAGACCCUACGGGGUGCAGCAGGCGCGAAAACUUGGCAAUGCGAGCAAUCGUGACCAGGGAACUCCAAGUGCAUCGGGUAAGACCGAUGCUUUUCUUGACUCUUCAAAGGUCUUGGAAUAAGGGGUGGGUAAGGACGGUGCCAGCCGCCGCGGUAAUACCGGCGCCUCAAGUGGUAGUCGCUUUUAUUGGGCCUAAAACGUCCGUAGCCGGUUUGGUACAUUCGUGGGUAAAUCAAGGCGCUCAACGUCUUGAAUUCUGCGAGCACGGCCAGACUUGGGACCGGGUGAGGUGUGGGGUACUCUCAGGGUAGGGGUAAAAUCCUGUCAUCCUGAGAGGACCACCUGUUGCGAAGGCGCCACACUAGAACGGAUCCGACGGUCAGGGACGAAGCCUAGGGGCACGAACCGGAUUAGAUACCCGGGUAGUCCUAGGUGUAAACGCUGUGGACUUGAUGUUGGGAGUGCUCCGAGCACCCUCAGUGUCGAAGCGAAGGUGAUAAGUCCACUGCCUGGGGAGUACGGUCGCAAGGCUGAAACUUAAAGGAAUUGGCGGGGGAGCACUGCAACCUGAGGAUUGUGCGGUUUAAUUGGAUUCAACGCCG
rnacentral:rRNA from 1 species